rnacentral:lncRNA from 10 species
GCAGGAUCUCAGCUCCCUACAAUCCCUGCCUCCCGGGUUCAAGCGAUUCCCCUGCCUCAGCCUGCUGAGUAGCUGGGACUACAGGCACACACCACCAUGGCUGGCUAGUUAUUGUAUUUUUAGUAGAGAUGAGGGUUCACCAUAUUGGCCAGGAUGGUCUCCAGCUCCUGACCUCGUGAUCUACCCGCCUCAGCCUCCGAAAGUGCUAGGAUUACAGGAUAAGCCACCAGGCCCAGACAUAUUUUUAAUUGACUAUUUAAGUAGACCUUGGUAAUAACUGCUUUUCUGUUUUUCACUGCAUACUAGCAGGCAAGGGCAAUUUUUUAGCCAGCCAAUACCGCAUUGAUUCUUGUAAGUCAGUGGCUAUUGCAAAAUUAACCCUUGUGGGUUAAAAAUAGAUUUAAAAUGUAAAGAUGAACAUGUAAUAUAAAGAAGACAAUUUCUAAGGUUAUUUUCAAAUUGAAGCAUCCGUGGUGGGAAACGAUUAUUUUGGCAGAGAUAGUACUUAAAAUAACACUUGGAUUUGCAAACUGGAGAACAUCAGCAGGAUAAUUCAUAAGCAUGCUCAUUUCCUCCUUGCUGGGUAUUAGCCAGGAAUACAGUACAGCAUAUGGCUUGUUAUUCUUGUAGCUGGAGACGACAGAAUUAAAUCCAGAGAUGAAUGACUGUUUUCUCAUCUAAGUCCCAGCCUGUCUGCCUUUCCAGGAACUGGCUAGUUAUGAUGGGACAUGGUUUUGCUGUGAGGCCAAGAUGCAGGAGGGGCAGGAAGCACCCAUGGGGCUGUCUUCACUGCAGGUGACACACGCUGAACACAGCCUUCAACCCUUGCCAUGUGCAGCCCCCGCAAGGCAAGCUGGCUUUGGAUUGACAAGUGGUUUCUGGGAGAUGCAGUAGAAGUACUUUUCUCUAUUCUUCUGCUAAGUCAACUAAAAACCCUGGACGUUAUACAUAAAGCAAACAGAAGAAUCCCCUGGAAGGCAGAAGAAAGCCAAGCGCUGGCCGAUGACCUCAGGGCCUGAGGAGCAUCACACUCCCAGGCUGGCAUAGGCAGAAGCCCAGUGGGAAGGGCAGAAUCUCCUGCUGCUUCCUGCAGGAGUAAUGAGGGGCCCUCCUGCUGUGGGGUAUCAACAGAGACUGAGUGUGGAACCCAGACUCCUGCCUUCACUUACAGUAACAAGGAAUAUAAAUGGUUGGAGAAGACAGACAAAGAGAACCGCUCUUCUGUAACAACGGGAAGGUGAAACCCCUUUUUGGACUGGCAAUGGUGAAAUCUAAGCAUGGCUCCAAUUUGAGUAGGGGACACGGAUACUGUUGACCUCUUUGCUGAAGGGGAGAAUCUGGGAGAAAGUUUCUCUUAUCCGUAAUAUCUGCAUAUUGUGCUUUGGUAAGGUGAACUGUUAGGAAAGAAGUACUAAGAAAAUUGAAAAACUUUAAUGAUCAAUAUUGAGAAUAAAAAUGUUUAUGCUGGGAAGCGUAAUUUGAUCAUGACCUCGACCUGUGUAACUCUGAAGUGAUUUGCAUAUCGCCAGUGCAUGUGCUUCCCCCCAGCAUCUGCAUCUCCCCCAGGCUGGGCCAUCUCCUGUGGACGGGACGUCUCCAGCACCACAGGAGAAAGAACAAAGAGUGCAAGGCGUCACUUGCUCUGUGCCUCUCAGGGUGAUCCAAACACACAGCUGGCACUUAACAUCAAAGCGAACUUGGCUUACAGGGAUGUGGAGGAAGAUCAGACUCUGGCACUUAGCGUUUUCCUUUUAUUUUAGCAUGAUCACCAAUGCCACAGACCCCCUGGGGAUGGACUCAUUUCAACAGCGGCAGAAGCUCCCUUCUAGAAGCACUCCCAUUUGCACAG